GACGAACGCUGGCGGCGUGCCUAAUACAUGCAAGUAGAACGCAGUUGCGAACGUGUGAGUAACGCGUAGGUAACUGCCUGGUAGCGGGGGGUAACUAAUGGAAACGAUAGCUAAUACCGCAUACUACCAGAUGGACCUGCGUUGUAUUAGCUAGUUGGUGAGGUAACGGCCCACCAAGGCAACGAUACGUAGCCGAGCUGAGAGGGUGAUCGGCCACACUGGGACUGUGACGCGGCCCAGACUCCUACGGGAGGCAGCAGUAGGGAAUCUUCGGCAAUGGGGGGAAGCCUGACCGAGCAACGCCGCGUGAGUGAAGAAGGUUUUCGGGUCGUAAAGCUCUGUUGUUAAGGACGCGGUACUUAACCAGAAAGGGACGGCUAACUACGUGCCAGCCGCCGCGGUAAUUC
rnacentral:rRNA from 1 species